rnacentral:tRNA from 1 species
GCCAUCGUGGUGCAGUGGUCAGCACACUCAGCGCGUAUUCGAGAGGCCCAUGGUUCAAGUCCCGGUGAGGGCA